rnacentral:rRNA from 1 species
CCCUCGGAGAGUUUGAUCCUGGCUCAGGACGAACGCUGGCGGCGUGCCUAAUACAUGCAAGUCGAGCGGACAGAUGGGAGCUUGCUCCCUGAUGUUAGCGGCGGACGGGUGAGUAACACGUGGGUAACCUGCCUGUAAGACUGGGAUAACUCCGGGAAACCGGGGCUAAUACCGGAUGCUUGUUUGAACCGCAUGGUUCAAACAUAAAAGGUGGCUUCGGCUACCACUUACAGAUGGACCCGCGGCG